rnacentral:rRNA from 1 species
UACGGAAGAUCCAAGCGUUAUCCGGAAUUACUGGGCGUAAAGAGUUGCGUAGGUGGCAUAGUAAGCAGGUAGUGAAAGCGUGUGGCUCAACCACAUUUCCAUUACUUGAACUGCUAAGCUUGAGCAUAAGAGAGGUAGCUGGAAUUCCUAGUGUAGGAGUGAAAUCCGUAGAUAUUAGGAGGAACACCGAUGGCGUAGGCAGGCUACUGGCUUAUUGCUGACACUAAGGCACGAAAGCGUGGGGAGCGAACGGG